ACUCUACAGAAAACAUUUCUGCACAAACCAGACUAUUGAAUCCAGUGUGGGGCGAUGCUUCUGCUACAUU
rnacentral:pre_miRNA from 13 species